GACCCCUAAGGCGAGGCCGAAAGGCGUAGUCGAUGGGAAACGGGUUAAUAUUCCCGUACUUGGUGUUACUGCGAAGGGGGGACGGAGAAGGCUAUGUUGGCCGGGCGACGGUUGUCCCGGUUUAAGCGUGUAGGUGUGUGUUCCAGGUAAAUCCGGUUCACUUUAACACUGAGGCGUGACGACGAGGCACUACGGUGCUGAAGCAACAAAUGCCCUGCUUCCAGGAAAAGCCUCUAAGCAUCAGGUAACAUCAAAUCGUACCCCAAACCGACACAGGUGGUCAGGUAGAGAAUACCAAGGCGCUUGAGAGAACUCGGGUGAAGGAACUAGGCAAAAUGGUGCCGUAACUUCGGGAGAAGGCACGCUGACAC
rnacentral:rRNA from 1 species